rnacentral:rRNA from 1 species
GCACAAGCGGUGGAGUAUGUGGUUUAAUUCGAUGCAACGCGAAGAACCUUACCUGGUCUUGACAUCCCGGAGACCCUUAGGAAACUAGGGGGUGCUUCCAUCUGGAAGAAUCUGGAGACAGGUGCUGCAUGGCUGUCGCCAGCUCGUGUCGUGAGAUGUUGGGUUAAGUCCCGCAACGAGCGCAACCCUUGCCUUUAGUUGCCAGCAGUUCGGCUGGGCACUCUAAAGGGACUGCCGGUGUUAAACCGGAGGAAGGUGGGGAUGACGUCAAGUCCUCAUGGCCUUUAUGACCAGGGCUACACACGUACUACAAUGGCCGAUACAAAGGGCAGCGACACUGCGAGGUGAAGCCAAUCCCGUAAAAUCGGUCUCAGUCCGGAUUGGAGUCUGCAACUCGACUCCAUGAAGUUGGAAUCGCUAGUAAUCGUGGAUCAGCAUGCCACGGUGAAUACGUUCCCGGGCCUU